UCCGGAGUAGUUCAAUGGGAGAACGCCCGGCUAUUACCCGGGUGGGUGCUGGUUCGAGUCCAGCCUCCGGAC
rnacentral:tRNA from 1 species